AUAAAAAGAUAAAAAAAAUCAAAAAAA
rnacentral:sRNA from 1 species